rnacentral:lncRNA from 1 species
AGAGAAAGACAAUAUGCUCGAGGGAAUGCUUGCCAAAAGGGUUCCCAGUGUUUGUUCGGGGGGGUUUGGCUGAGGCUGAGGGUAUCAAUAACAUUGUUGGUCCCUUCAAUACUGCUUCUAGAGAGGGGAAAGCUCUGCUUUGGAGCAACAUGGCUCUUCCUUCAGAUAUUUGUUGCCAGACAGACAUGGCAGAUGAUGAAAAUGAGUAUGCGGUUGCUCCCCUCUCUGUGGGAUGAUGCCUUCUCAUCAUGGUUGUCAACUCUUCUGCCGUAUAUUCGUCUCCUUCCUUCUGGCCCACUUUUCCUUGUUUGCUUCACAGUUAAAAACAAUUUUCGAGUUUAAUUUUGUGUUGGCCAAUACAUUGUUGAGGUGUUUGUGGCAUGAACCAACAGAGUUGCAAGUGUGGGGUGUACGACACUUGGGAAUGAUUUUAUAAAAGGAUAUAUUAUUGGCAGACUAGGGAUCUUUUUAUAUAAAAUGUAUAUUG